GUCACUUCACUUCACUUUAACUAAAUUCGUUUAUGUCUGGCUGCGCAAAACAUUUUACUCCAGACUGCUUUCUGAAUGAGGGACAAUUCAAGGCAGGUGUUGUUAAAAAGUUC